GUCCAGCUGAUGAGUCCCGAAUAGGACGAAACGCGUGUCCUGGAU
rnacentral:hammerhead_ribozyme from 1 species